rnacentral:tRNA from 1 species
UUCUCUCGCCAGGAAUCGAACCUGGAUCGCACGUGUGUCAAACUUGAAUACUAACCAUUGUAAUACAAGAGA